rnacentral:rRNA from 1 species
CCCUUAGAUGUCCUGGGCCGCACGCGCGUUACACUGAUGCAUUCAACGAGCUUAUAACCUUGGCCGAGAGGCCUGGGCAAUCUUGUUAACGUGCAUCGUGAUAGGGAUAGAUUAUUGAAAUCAUUAAUCUUGAACGAGGAAUUCCUAGUAAACGCAGAUCAUCAAUCUGCAUUGAUUACGUCCCUGCCCUUUGUACACACCGCCCGUCGCACCUACCGAUUGGAUGGUCCGGUGAAGCCUCGGGAUUGUGGUUCUUGCCGCUUUAUUGUGGCGUGACCGCGAGAACUUGUCUAAACCUUAUCAUCUAGAGGAAGGUGAAGUCGUAACA